AAAGAGAUAGUUAAAUUACUU
rnacentral:snRNA from 1 species